AUCCUGUCUUCUCAGUCUGAGAGGCAUCAGCAGAGGAACCUUCAUGCAGCGUCUCCCUGAGCACAGGACUGACUGUCUCUCUCCUUCACAGGACGUGUCCUCUCUGAGGAGCUGCCCUCUGGGUAUGAAGAUGUGGAGGACAGUGAGGGAGACCCUCUCUCAGGUUCAGGGUUGAUGAUGACAGGAGACACAGCAGAGGACUAUGAUGAUGUUGAGGGUAUAGAGCAGAGUGCGCAUGUUAUACAGGAUGAGAGAGCCUUGACCACACUGCCCCCUGGGGAGGGCCCCCCUGUACCCGGCCAGACUGACUACGAUGAUGUGGGGGAGGAGGGACUGACAGUCCUGCCUGAGGAAGCUCCUGUCCAGAGGUUCACAU